rnacentral:rRNA from 1 species
UACAGAGGUCCCGAGCGUUGUUCGGAUUCACUGGGCGUAAAGGGUGCGUAGGUGGCGAGGUAAGUCGGAUGUGAAAGCUCGGAGCUCAACUCCGAAAUGGCAUUGGAAACUACCUUGCUCGAGGGUUGGAGGGGGGACUGGAAUUCUCGGUGUAGCAGUGAAAUGCGUAGAUAUGCGGAGGAACACCGAUGGCGAAGGCAAUCCCCUGGGCCUGCACUGACGCUCAUGCACGAAAGCGUGGGGAGCAAACAGG